rnacentral:rRNA from 1 species
CCUACGGGAUGCAGCAGUGAGGAAUAUUGGUCAAUGGACGCAAGUCUGAACCAGCCAUGCCGCGUGCAGGAAGACGGCUCUAUGAGUUGUAAACUGCUUUUGUACGAGGGUAAACGCAGAUACGCGUAUCUGUCUGAAAGUAUCGUACGAAUAAGGAUCGGCUAACUCCGUGCCAGCAGCCGCGGUAAUACGGAGGAUUCAAGCGUUAUCCGGAUUUAUUGGGUUUAAAGGGUGCGUAGGCGGUCGGAUAAGUUAGAGGUGAAAUCCCGAGGCUCAACUUCGGAAUUGCCUCUGAUACUGUUAGGCUAGAGAGUAGUUGCGGUAGGCGGAAUGUAUGGUGUAGCGGUGAAAUGCUUAGAGAUCAUACAGAACACCGAUUGCGAAGGCAGCUUACCAAGCUACGUCUGACGUUGAGGCACGAAAGCGUGGGGAGCAAACAGGAUUAGAUACCCCAGUAGUC